rnacentral:rRNA from 1 species
UCCUGGCUAGGACGAACGCUGGCGGCGUGCCUAACACAUGCAAGUCGAACGAAGCAUUUGGAGUUGAUCCUUCGGGGUGACGCACCUUAUGACUUAGUGGCGGACGGGUGAGUAACACGUGAGCAACCUGCCUCUCAGAGUGGAAUAACAGUUGGAAACGGCUGCUAAUACCACAUAACGUUUUUUGUGCCGCAUGACACUUCAACCAAAGAUUUAUCGCUGAGAGAUGGGCUCGCGUCCGAUUAGGUAGAUGGUGGGGUAACGGCCUACCAUGCCGACGAUCGGUAGCCGGACUGAGAGGUUGAUCGGCCACAUUGGGACUGAGACACGGCCCAGACUCCUACGGGAGGCAGCAGUGGGGGAUAUUGCACAAUGGGGGAAACCCUGACGCAGCGACGCCCGCGUGAGCGAAGAAGGCCUUAGGGUCGUAAAGCUCUGUUUUAAGGGACGAAUGUCGCGGGUAAUAAUACGAUCUGCGAAUGACGGUACCUUAAGAGGAAGCCCCGGCUAACUACGUGCCAGCCGCCGC